AUGGGUGCCAUCAUUCCUCCAUCGCAGGCCUCGGUAUAUAACCCUACCAGUCCGCCCGCCCCUAGGGUUUCCUUCCACCAAGAGAGCAAAAGGGGAUCGGGAGUCAGUUAUGCGCCGCCGCCUGCCGUGCGCCGAUCUCCACCAUCUCGCCGUCGCCGUCGCCGUCGCCGUCGGAUGCCUCGAAUGAGGAUCCCCCGGUGCUUGAGCAGAGGCGACCAAAUAAGCAGCUCCCCCUUUGGGAGCUGCAGCCCCCAAUCCAAGCAGCAGCAGCAGCAGCAGCAGCUCCUUUCCGAGCAGCGACCGGCAAUCGAAGCAAUCAAGCGGCUCCACUCCGAGCCGCAGACGGCAAUCCUUUCCGGAUUACAAUCAGAAACAGGCCCUCUUUCGAAUUCAGUCUCCGGGUUUCCAUUGGUGGCGGCAACCUAG
rnacentral:rRNA from 1 species